rnacentral:rRNA from 1 species
AGUUUGAUCAGUGGCUCGAGGACGACGCUGGCGGCGUGCUUAACACAUGCAAGUCGAACGGUAAGGCCCUUCGGGGUACACGAGUGGCGAACGGGUGAGUAACACGUGGGUGAUCUGCCCUGCACUUCGGGAUAAGCCUGGGAAACUGGGUCUAAUACCGGAUAGGACUCCUGGCUUCAUGGUUGGGGGUGUAAAGCUUUUGCGGUGUGGGAUGGGCCCGCGGCCUAUCAGCUUGUUGGUGGGGUAAUGGCCUACCAAGGCGACGACGGGUAGCCGGCCUGAGAGGGUGACCGGCCACACUGGGACUGAGAUACGGCCCAGACUCCUACGGGAGGCAGCAGUGGGGAAUAUUGCACAAUGGGCGCAAGCCUGAUGCAGCGACGCCGCGUGAGGGAUGACGGCCUUCGGGUUGUAAACCUCUUUCAAUAGGGACGAAGCGCAAGUGACGGUACCUAUAGAAGAAGGACCGGCCAACUACGUG